GCAAAUAACAAAAAAAUCAGGACCAUAACAGUAAAGGCAUAGCUGCCACAUGUUUGUGUCAGCCAUCAUUGACUGACAUUUAUUUUGAACCUGUGUGGGCAUGCUGAAAUACAGACAAAAUAAGUAUUAUAGACAUGUUUCAAGGGCAGGACAGCUUCCUUUCCUCCUCAGGUGUUGGAUACCCUGGCUUCGCCGUCUGUCAUCCUGGGUCAACAUCACACACUGAUUCUCCCACAGGACCCAAUAGGACAGGUCCCGCUCCCGGUCGCUGUGGAUAGGUUCUGGCAGGUUCAGGCCCUCUGCGUCUCUCCCAGGCAGGAAGUUGGAGCUGGUUUUGCGAUGACGGGGAAAUAAAGAGCUGGUAAAAUGGCGUGGCAUGUCGUUCAGGGAGAGUCAGCAUGGUAUCGUCUUUAACCCUUGGCUUUGUGGUUCGCCUGGGAUGCCCCCGCUACAGCUGCUGCCGCCACAAAGGCAGGGAAUUAAAGACACACUGCACCUUUUUGAUCUCGUUU